rnacentral:lncRNA from 1 species
AACAACAGGUGCUGGAGAGGAUGUGGAGAAAUAGGAACACUUUUACACUGUUGGUGGGACUGUAAACUAGUUCAACCAUUGUGGAAGUCAGUGUCAUUGGGUUUUUUUAAAAAGCUAUUCACUCAUUCAAUUUAUUUGAUAAAUAUUUAGUGAAUGUCUACUCUGUGCCAAACACUUUCUAGGCAUUUACAUUCUAGCAGGAUGUAUCAGUUAGCUAUUGCCACAGUGAUGUGUAACAAUAACCACGAAAUUUCCGUGGCAUGAAAAAUUAAUCACUUAUUAAGAAUUUAUCUUCACAGAUCUGGAGGCCAGCUGGGACUCAGAUGAUUAAAGAGGGCUCUGUUGGGUAACUUUAUUCAGGCUGGGGUCACUGUACUUUCCUUGCCGCAGUACUGUGGGUAAGCUAUGGUGGCUCUGCUUCAUGUAUUUCUCAUCCUCCUUAGACCAGUGAACUAGCUGGGUCUCGUUUCUCUGUGGCUUCUUUCAUGAAUCAUAAGAGAUGACAUGUCCAACUCUGGUUUCACUCCAUUAACCAAAGUCUCAUGAAUGAGCUCAAAGACAGGAGGUAGGAAAAUAAGCUCCAGUUUUUUGUGUGCGGAUUUGCAAAGUUCAUGACAAAGGUUGAGAAAGGGGCCAGUAAUUCAAUUUAGGUGGGAAAGACUAACAAAGAACAAUAAGCCUAAUACAUAAGUAAAUUAUCAAAUAUAUUAGAAGGUGAUAAGUAAUAUUUCAAGAUUCUAAUGUGUAGCUAAGACUGAGAACUACUGAUCUUACAGUGUCAAACCUGGAAAGAAACCUGGUCUAACGUUCCUUGAACCAUUUUGAAAAUAGUAAAGCAGACCGUUCUCCCAGAAAGGAGAAGAAUCUUAUUCGAGGUCCAUGGAUGGAUAGAAAUGGAGCUAGGACCCAGGUCUUCUGAUUCUUUAGAUUAUUUCUCUUAUACCACAGUAUUCCAAUCUGUAGUCUUAGAAUUCUCCCUUUAUUGAUGGCACCAAAAAUAUGUUGUGGAAGGACAUCAUCAUUCUUACUUCUCUUGAUCUCAGACAUUAGAAGUAUGCUACCUAAUUCCUAUACUUCUCUUAGUGACUCAAUUCAGAGCCCAAUUUGACAUUCUCCAUAUUUGUACCCUUCAAAACUUUAUACACAUUCUAUCCUCUUUCAGCUUUUUUUUCUCUUCAAGUUGAAGACUGUUAGUUUUGGUCUGUCUUCAUGUGAUUCCCCAGGGUGCUACCUCAGCUGUCUGCUUGGUUAUUGGGCCUUCUCUUUUCUCCAGCUCUCUAAUGCCUUGAAUGAAGAGUAUUUCUUGAGUUACUUUUUUACUCUGAGCAUCCACUAGGCCUUAUAGUCACCGUUGCUGUUCUGGAUUACAGUCUUCUUGAUUUGCCAGGAUGAACAAUCAGAAGAAAAGAAAAUAUAUGGAACUUGCUUGUACCUGGAGUUUAUUGUCUGGAGAGAAUGGUGAGUAACUGAAUGAAAUAAGAAAUGGUAUAUACUAGGUAAGUCUAUUCAUUCUCUUUCUCCUGUUUCUUUUCCUCAUACCCUUGGAGAUUCUUCUGAAACUUUAAAAUGUUGUUAGAUGUGAAUUACUUGGAUACAGUAUUUACCCAUUAAUCUCUUGAAACUGUCUCCACAAUUUUUAUGUUGCCUAAAAUAAGGAUAAAGACGGAGAAGAGGCAACUGUGGUUUCUGUUGUUUUCCAUAAUCCCCCAAACAUUUACAAUUAUAAAAGACUCCAAGUCUCUUCCUUUAAUGUAACCAGAGCUUUUCACAGGAGACAGCACAGAAGAACAAAGAGUGAAGAUUGCUGGAGUCCUGCCUCUUGUGGCUGAUUCCUGAAAUCCAAGGAAUGUUUAGUUGUGGGGAACAGAAACCAGUUAUUCUCAACAGACCACUCACUUGCCUGCUCAUUUCUGUGACAGUCUAAUGUCUGCCCGUCCACACCCUGCUUCUUCCCAUUCACCUGUUAGCACCCAUCUAGUCACAACUUCUUCUCCACUCUAAUCUUACUCUUGCUUUUAAAAGUGUGCAAGAAGUAAACAAUUAUAGGAAUGUGGAGUUGUGUGUGUGCUUGUGUAUUCUUAUUUAUAUAUCUAUAUGUAAAGUAUCUGGAUUGAGUGUGUGUAAAAUAUGUAUUUGAAUGUAGAUCAUCAUAUAUAUCUUAUAUAUCUAUCAAAUUAAUAUUCAGCAAAGCCCUGUUCUUUCCCAUUAGCAAGUUAGGCUCAACGGAAGCCACAACAGAAGCAAGAGGGUAAUAUUCAGUGGAAAGAAAAUAGCAGAAAACAAUCACUUCAAAUAAUGUAUGAAUCUUUAAGCUCAUGCCUAAAAUUUUCCUUAUUGAUGAUAUAAAUUAAAAUAUCCACAGCUAAAUAUAUGCAUAAGGGAAAUUCUUUUUUUUAAGAGAUAGGAUCUCACUCUGUCAGUCAGGCUAGAGUGCAGUCAUGCAAUCACAGUUCACUACAGCCUUGACCUCCCAGACUCAAGUGAUCCUCCUGGCUCAGCCUCCCAAGUAUCUGGGAACACAAGUGCACACCACUAUACUUGGCUAUUUUUUUACUUUCCGUAGAGACAAGACCUCCCUAUGUUGCCCAGGCUGGUCUCAAACUCCUGGGCUCAAGUGAUCCUCCCACCUUAGACUCCCAAAGCGCUGGGAUUACAGGUGUGAGCCACUGUGCCCAGCUGGGAAAUUCUUAUGUUUUAUUUUAUGUUGCGUAUUAGCUAUAAAAUACCUUUGUGAGUAAGUUAGAAAAGAUGUGAGAUGAUUUACUUCCUUUGUUGUAUUUCUGUUUGGGGAGCAGCAUGAAUGGCUGUUACAGUGUGGCAAAAUUUCUGUGCAUUUCAGGUUUUGGUAUAAAGGUGUAUUUGUGCUACUCCUAACUUUAACUCUUUCUUCCACAGUUGCUUCAAAUUCUCUGGCUUCGUUUUCAUGUAAAGAGCUUACAGGUAGAUGUCUUUUCUAUUUUACUCUCUUUUUCUGUUUUGAGAAUAGUAUUUUCCAAGAACCCAACUACCCAUCCCUACCCCGCCCUGCUCCUCUCUAAUUUUUCCCUCUUAUUCACUGGGGCAACAAUCAUUGCUUUUUUGGCAACUAUAAAGCCCCAAACUGUCACGACAAAUAGGGCUUCUAUAUCAUAUAGAAUAUAUUCAAAUACCUAUUCGAAUACUGGGAGGACCACUGGUGGUGGUGGUCAAGAGCUAGAUGUAGAAAAUUUUAUUCUGAGAAAAGGCCAGUCCUCUUCUGGAAUUAUCUAGAUCAGGGCCAGCAAACUAUAGCUAGUGAGUCAAACCCAACCAGUUGCCUAUUUUUGUAAAUAAAGCUUUAUUGGAAUACAGCUAUUUGUUUACAUAUUAUCUAUGGCUACUUUCACAGUAAGAUGGCAGAGUUGAGCAAUUGCAACAGAGACCGAAAAGCCUAAACUAUUUAAGAAAUUUUACAGAAAAUGUUUGCCAACCGUUAUCUCUAUUAGCGUUCCCCAAACUGAGUUCUAGGAACAGUUAUGC